CAAGGGGCUCUAAAGAUCACCUCAUUCCAAGGCUGCUGCCGCCGUGGGCAGGGACGUGCUUCCAUCGAGCAGCUUGCUCAGAGCCUCAUCGCAGAGCACCGAGGGGCCUUGAGCACUUGCAGCGAUGGGGCAGCCCCAGGACCUCUGAGCAACCUGUGCCCUGUGCCAGCCAGGUGCCAGAGGAGGAAGGAAGCCCUUCCCACCUGGAGCAGAGGCUGCGUAGCCUUGUGUCACCGAGCGUGUGAGACAGAAAGGCCCUUCCUUUCUGGAGGGGUAACAACACUCAAAGCUCUUUCUCGGGACAAGCAGAGCAAUGGAAGGCCAAAGGAGCCUUCAGUUCUUCCAGCAGCUUUGGGAACAACUUGAAGGAGGAAAAGCAGAGCCAAUCUCUGAGAAGGGACGUGCGAGCUCUGGCGAGGACGGCUGCUCCCCCUGGCCUUGGUGUGGGACCUCCUGAGCUGCCAUUCCUGUGGUGGGAGUGUUUCUCCUCUCCUCCAGCCAAGCCAGAGACCGCCUAGGGAAGGAGCAGCUGACCGAGAGGCUAACAGGCGAUCACGGGGCCCUCCGAGGCAGACUCAUUUCAGGUGCAACGUGGAUUCACAUCACUGAUCAUCCAAAAGAUAAGUCUGGGUCACGGCCUGGAGAAGGGAGAGCAGCGGGUUGGGAGUUCCUGGGACAGAUUGAAAAAUUAGCAGAGGGAAAAGCAAUCUUGUCCUAGGGGCCUCUUAGGACAGCUAAAGGGAGAGACUCCACAUUUGAUGGCAGCGUGCAGGCGGGCAGGGCAGAGCAGUUCCGGUCCACGUCGUGUUGUCGGGUGUACCGUGUUACCUACUGUGUCUUUGGGGUCCCUUUUGCCUUUUCCCCUCGAGGCCCUCACCACAAGCAUAAUGUGUCGUGUUUAACGUCCCCCCGUUGGUCACGUUCUGUGUCACGGGUGUCUGCACAUGUUUGUGCCGGAGCUGCUCUGCCCUGCCGCAGAGGCUGCUGCAACAGGACAAGGCUCAGGGACUUGCAGUUUGUGGGGUGUGGCCGGACUCUAGAUGAUAUUCCUAGAUAGACAGAAGAUGUUUGGAGCUGUGAAGAUAUCCUGCAGCCCUUUGACGUUUGUCCUCGCUUUCUUUCAGAUGCAGAAGGAUAAAAUCCAGGGCAAAAUCCAUCCACCCAUCCCGAGUGAGGAGGUUCCCCCGAGCAGGAAGUAAAGCUGGACAUCAGCAGGCAAGGUGAGAUGGGCAAGGCAAUCCACUCGGAGUAGGCCAAGCCCCAGUCACCAACCGGCCGACGCGCCGGGUUUGCCGCUCUCCCGAGCCCUGGGGAAGAAUCCCGGGACUCGGCGAUGAAGCCUCUGCCUUUUCUGUUUAAAGGUGUCACCAGGGUAGCCUUCAGCAAUGGCCGAGGAGUUGCGCCCAGGCGUGCCCCACGACGAUGGCGUCAGCCUCCGAGUGCGGCUGAAGCGUGCGGCCCCAGGAGCCGGGCAUUCUUGGGAAAAGAACGAAGAAACAACAGGAAGUUGUUGAACAACAGUGCCAGCAGGACCUUCCCAGAUGUCGAGGCAGCCUUCCCUUGCACCUGACACAGACCGGCAUCCCCAGAUGUCUGAGAGAUAAG